UACGGGGGGGGCAAGCGUUGUUCGGAAUUACUGGGCGUAAAGGGCUCGUAGGCGGCCAACUAAGUCGGAUGUGAAAUCCCCAGGCUCAACCUGGGAACUGCAUCCGAUACUGGAUGGCUUGAAUUCGGGAGAGGGAUGCAGAAUUCCAGGUGUAGCGGUGAAAUGCGUAGAUAUCUGGAGGAAGACCGGUGGCGAAGGCGGCAUCCUGGACCGAGAUUGACGCUGAGGAGCGAAAGCUAGGGGAGCAAACGGG
rnacentral:rRNA from 1 species